rnacentral:rRNA from 1 species
CUGUGGGCUUGCAUCGGGUACGGGCAGACUAGAGUGCUGUAGGGGAGACUGGAAUUCCUGGUGUAGCGGUGGAAUGCGCAGAUAUCAGGAGGAACACCGAUGGCGAAGGCAGGUCUCUGGGCAGUUACUGACGCUGAGGAGCGAAAGCAUGGGGAGCGAACAGGAUUAGAUACCCUGGUAGUCCAUGCCGUAAACGUUGGGCACUAGGUGUGGGGCGGGUUCCACUCGUUCUGUGCCGCAGCUAACGUAUUAAGUGCCCCGCCUGGGGAGUACGGCCGCAAGGCUAAAACUCAAAGGAAUUGACGGGGGCCCGCACAAGCGGCGGAGCAUGCGGAUUAAUUCGAUGCAACGCGAAGAACCUUACCAAGGCUUGACAUGUACGAGAAAGCCCCAGAGAUGGGGUUCUCUUUGGACACUCGUACACAGGUGGUGCAUGGUUGUCGUCAGCUCGUGUCGUGAGAUGUUGGGUUAAGUCCCGCAACGAGCGCAACCCUUAUCCUAUGUUGCCAGCGGGUUAUGCCGGGGACUCACGGGAGACUGCCGGGGUCAACUCGGAGGAAGGUGGGGAUGACGUCAAAUCAUCAUGCCCCUUAUGUCUUGGGCUUCACGCAUGCUACAAUGGCCGGUACAGAGGGCUGCGAUACCGUGAGGUGGAGCGAAUCCCAAAAAGCCGGUCUCAGUUCGGAUCGGGGUCUGCAACUCGACCCCGUGAAGUCGGAGUCGCUAGUAAUCGCAGAUCAGCAACGCUGCGGUGAAUACGUUCCCGGGCCUUGUACACACCGCCCGUCAAGUCACGAAAGUUGGUAACACCCGAAGCUCACGGCCCAACCCCUUGUGGGAGGGAGUGUCGAAGUGAC